UACGUAGGGACCAAGCGUUGUCCGGAAUCAUUGGGCGUAAAGAGCGUGUAGGCGGCUUGUUAAGUCUUGCGUGAAAUCUCGGGGCUCAACCCCGAGCGGUCGUGAGAAACUGGCAGGCUAGAGUGCGGGAGAGGAGAGUGGAAUUCCUGGUGUAGCGGUGAAAUGCGCAGAUAUCAGGAAGAACACCCGUGGCGAAGGCGGCUCACUGGACCGGAACUGACGCUGAGGCGCGAAAGCGUGGGGAGCAAACGGG
rnacentral:rRNA from 1 species